CAGGAUGAACGCUGGCGGCGUGCUUAACACAUGCAAGUCGAACGGAGAUGRCUGGAAGCUUGCUUCUAGAMAUCUUAGUGGCGAACGGGUGAGUAACGCGUAAUCAACCUGCCUCUYAGAGGGGGACAACAGAGGGAAACUUCUGCUAAUACCGCAUAUCUUCCAAUGACCGCAUGGUCGAUGGAAGAAAGGUGGCCUCUAUUUAUAAGCUACCGCUGAGAGAGGGGAUUGCGUCUGAUUAGCUAGUUGGUGGGGUAACGGCCUACCAAGGCGAUGAUCAGUAGCCGGUCUGAGAGGAUGAACGGCCACACUGGGACUGAGACACGGCCCAGAC
rnacentral:rRNA from 1 species